rnacentral:tRNA from 4 species
GCGGAUGUAGUUUAGUGGUAAAACCUCAGCCUUCCAAGCUGAUGAUGGGGGUUCGAUUCCCCCUAUCCGCU